AACGAACGCUGGCGGCAGGCCUAACACAUGCAAGUCGAACGCUCCGCAAGGGAGUGGCGCACGGUGAGUAACACGUGGGACCUACCUUCUGGUACGGAACAACCAAGGGAAACUUUGGCUAAGACCGUAUACGACCUCCGGGUGAAAGAUUGAUCGCCGGAAGAGGGGCCCGCGUCCGAUUAGGUAGUUGGUGAGGUAACGGCUCACCAAGCCUUCGAUCGGUAGCUGGUCUGAGAGGAUGACCAGCCACACUGGGACUGAGACACGGCCCAGACUCCUACGGGAGGCAGCAGUGGGAAUAUUGGACAAUGGGCGCAAGCCUGAUCCAGCCAUGCCGCGUGAGUGAUGAAGGCC
rnacentral:rRNA from 1 species